rnacentral:tRNA from 5 species
UGUAAGAAAGACUAAGGGAUAGUCUUCGGGCUCAUAACCCGAGAAAAGUGAGUUCGAGUCUCACUCUUACAA